AUGGAGGAGGUGACUGCUUUUUCAAAUGUGAGGACAGUAAAGCAAACUUCAAGGAACACGAAAAAUCAAGGAAACGUGACACCACCAAAGGAACCAUUUGCCACUAACGUACCCCCCAAAGUGAAGACCUGCAAUUUGCCAGACAAAAAAUUCAAAAUAAGUGUUAAACAGGCGCUGGAGAAGAAGCUGUCGGAGUUGAGCAACUCGCAGCAGAGCGUGCAGACCCUGUCCCUGUGGCUAAUCCACCACCGCAAGCACUCGCGGCCCAUCGUCACAGUGUGGGAGCGGGAGCUGCGGAAAGCCAAACCAAACAGGAAGCUUACUUUUCUCUACCUAGCUAAUGAUGUCAUUCAGAACAGCAAAAGGAAGGGGCCAGAGUUUACAAAAGAUUUUGCACCAGUUAUAGUGGAGGCUUUUAAGCAUGUUUCAAGUGAAACUGAUGAAAGUUGUAAGAAGCACCUUGGAAGAGUGUUAUCUAUUUGGGAAGAAAGGUCUGUUUAUGAAAAUGAUGUAUUAGAACAACUUAAGCAAGCUCUGUAUGGCGAUAAGAAGCCUAGGAAGCGAACAUAUGAACAGAUAAAGGUGGAUGAGAAUGAAAACUGUUCCUCUCUAGGAUCUCCAAGUAAACCACCACAGACUCUAGAUCUCGUUAGAGCAUUACAAGAUCUAGAAAAUGCAGCUUCUGGUGAUGCAGCAGUUCAUCAAAGGAUAGCUUCUUUGCCUGUUGAAGUUCAAGAAGUAUCCCUACUAGAUAAAAUAACAGAUAAAGAAUCUGGAGAAAGACUUUCUAAAAUGGUAGAGGACGCUUGUAUGUUGCUGGCAGAUUACAAUGGAAGAUUGGCAGCUGAAAUAGAUGAUAGGAAGCAACUCACUCGAAUGUUAGCAGAUUUUCUUCGUUGUCAAAAGGAAGCCCUUGCAGAGAAAGAGCAUAAAUUGGAAGAAUACAAGCGCAAGUUAGCCAGAGUUUCCCUGGUGCGAAAAGAACUCAGGUCCCGGAUCCAGAGCCUGCCGGACUUAUCUCGAUUGCCCAAUGUUACUGGCAGCCACAUGCACCUGCCCUUUGUGGGGGACAUCUACAGUGAAGAUUGAUGACCAGUCUCUUUCCAGGGCCCAGGACUUUGCAAGAGAUGGAGACAGGUUAGGUGGAUAGUCCUGUAGUGUUAUUUUUGUAUAUUGUUGAGAGAGUGACAUUAACAAAAAGAAAUAAGUAAUUUAUAAAAUUGUUUAAAAUGUU